AGUUUUCUGAAACUUACCUAGAAUCUUUCAGAAAGAGGUCUUCUUCAACUUUUGAACAAUAAAUGGUUAGUUCUUACUUAUGUUGGUGUAUUUAUAAUAUCUUUUGUUGAAUGAAGAUUAUGGCACCUAAUAAGGAAUGGAUGCAACUUGUUCAAGAUAGACUUGAUAAUGCUUACAUCAUUGGGGUGGAGAAAUUUUUGGAUUAUGCUUUUACAAAAUUGGGAGAAACACAAGAAAUACGUUGUCCAUGCAUCAGGUGUUGUAAUGCAUCUUCCAAAACUCAUGAGAUGGAAGAACCAAAUCCUGAAGCAAAACGAUUCUACGGCCUAUUAAAUGAUUAUGAACAACCAUUAUAUGAAGGUUCGAAAGCAAGAAAACUUUCUACUUUGAUUAAGUUACUUCAUAUUAAAAGUAUUGGCCAAUGGAGUAAUGCUUCAUUCACAAUGUUGUUGAAGAUGCUAAAGGAAGAUUUAUUGCCUGAUGGAUCAAACUUGCCAGAUUCA